CAGCGCCACGGUAAUACGAGGGGGGCAAGCGUUGUUCGGAAUUAUUGGGCGUAAAUGGUGCGUAGGCGGUUUGACAAGUCAUCUGUGAAAUCUAUGGGCUCAACCCAUAGUCUGCAGGCGAAACUGUCGGGCUUGAGUAUGGGAGAGGUGAGUGGAAUUUCCGGUGUAGCGGUGAAAUGCGUAGAUAUCGGAAGGAACACCUGUGGCGAAAGCGGCUCACUGGACCAUAACUGACGCUGAGGCACGAAAGCUAGGGGAGCAAACAGGAUUAGAUACCCCUGUAGUCCCUGUCUCUUAUACA
rnacentral:rRNA from 1 species